GAAAGACGUCGUGACUGGCGCUGGUGGAUGACCACAAGGGAGCGGCAACAGCAGGAACCAAACGGAUCGCGCGCCUGGGCCCGGGGG
rnacentral:ncRNA from 12 species